rnacentral:rRNA from 1 species
AUUGAACGCUGGCGGCAUGCCUUACACAUGCAAGUCGAACGGUAACGCGGGGCAACCUGGCGACGAGUGGCGAACGGGUGAGUAAUGCAUCGGAACGUGCCCAGUAGUGGGGGAUAGCCCGGCGAAAGCCGGAUUAAUACCGCAUACGACCUACGGGUGAAAGCGGGGGACCGUAAGGCCUCGCGCUAUUGGAGCGGCCGAUGUCAGAUUAGGUAGUUGGUGGGGUAAAAGCCUACCAAGCCAACGAUCUGUAGCUGGUCUGAGAGGACGACCAGCCACACUGGGACUGAGACACGGCCCAGACUCCUACGGGAGGCAGCAGUGGGGAAUUUUGGACAAUGGGCGCAAGCCUGAUCCAGCCAUGCCGCGUGAAGGAUGAAGGCGCUCAGCGUUGUAAACUUCUUUUGGAUGGGGACAAUAACUUCCAUUUAUGGGAGCUUGAGGGUACCAUCAGAAUAAGCACCGGCUAACUACGUGCCAGCAGCCCGCGGUAAUUGCGACG